AUUAGAUUUCAAUCAAUAUAACAAUUAACUUUAUGUCAAUUAUCAUCACACAAUAAAGUUAAUAUGUAAUCCUAACCAAUGUCCCAAUGUCCUAGUGUAAAUAAGGAAGUCCAAAAUCCAAUCCAAGAAUAAAAUGUGCUAUCCUUCCUGCUACUUAAAUGCAAACCAGUGCAACAUAUUUUGGAUUAAUCAAUGUUCAACUAUCAAAGGCCAUGUCAAUGGUCAGCAUUACUGUGCAGAGAGAGACCAGCUACAAAAACCUGACUAAAGAGAUACCAGCUACAACAACCUGACUGAAGAGAGACCAGCUACAACAACCUGACUAAAGACAGAGAGAGACCAGCUACAACAACCUGACUAAAGAAAGAGAGAGAAACCAGCUACAACAACCUGAC